UACGUAGGGUGCAAGCGUUGUCCGGAAUUAUUGGGCGUAAAGAGCUCGUAGGCGGUCUGUCGCGUCGGCUGUGAAAUCCCGGAGCUCAACUCCGGGUCUGCAGUCGAUACGGGCAAACUGGAGUACUGCAGGGGAGACUGGAAUUCCUGGUGUAGCGGUGGAAUGCGUAGAGAUCCGGAAGAACACCAGUGGCGAAGGCGGCCCGCUGGGCAGUGGCUGACGCUGAGGCGCGACAGCGUGGGGAGCAAACAGG
rnacentral:rRNA from 1 species